AACGAACGCUGGCGGCAUGCCUAACACAUGCAAGUCGAACGAGACCUUCGGGUCUAGUGGCGCACGGGUGCGUAACGCGUGGGAACCUGCCCUUAGGUUCGGAAUAACUCCCCGAAAGGGGUGCUAAUACCGGAUAAUGUCUUCGGACCAAAGAUUUAUCGCCUUUGGAUGGGCCCGCGUUGGAUUAGCUAGUUGGUAGGGUAAAAGCCUACCAAGGCGACGAUCCAUAGCUGGUCUGAGAGGAUGAUCAGCCACACUGGGACUGAGACACGGCCCAGACUCCUACGGGAGGCAGCAGUGGGGAAUAUUGGACAAUGGGCGAAAGCCUGAUCCAGCAGUGCCGCGUGAGUGAUGAAGGCCUUGGGGUUGUAAAGCUCUUUUACCCGGGAUGAUAAUGACAGUACCGGGAGAAUAAGCACCGGCUAACUCCGUG
rnacentral:rRNA from 1 species